AUCUCUACACUGCCGCCUCCGUGCUCCUACAGGGAGAUAUUGAAAGUGGUGUUGUGUACUGUAGUUUAUUUGUAGCAUGACGAAAGAUUGGUAGACUUUUAGCCAGCUGCAGCCACGUAAACGAGACAGUAAUAGAAUAGAAAUAUGAAUGUCCGUAAGCAUUAAUAGUGCAUUACCAGAGGACGAGAAUGAGUCGACGAAAUAAUGACUCGUUUUAUGAUAAUGGACCACCGAAUAUAUGCACUGCUGGUCAUGGAAGCAUCACACCAACCCAGAGAAGUGGAGAAACAACCCAUGGUUAUACCCACCACACAAGACACUCGACUGUAAGACCAGCAUCUUACAACUCUCAGCAAACAAUCAACUCAGAAAAGGCUGUGCUCUACGACCCGUAUGAUCCUGGCUCAUCAUCAGACUCCGAAGUGGAGCCUUCCAAAGGCAGGGAAGACCAUCACAGACACAGAGUCAUUGGACAGAGCUACGGCCUGAGUACUGGAUAUCAAGGCUACGCUUCAGUAGCUGGGCAUCAUGACGGCCUCAACUGGGACUUGUCAUACUCUCGUUCUGGUACCAGACAUGAGCAGUCGAGCCAUGGCUCCAGACAUGACCAGUCAAGCCAUGACCACUCAGCCCGGCCGUUGCCCACGACAGAAACGCCACUAUUCCCCCGCAAUGCAUAUGGGGGGCGGAGGGGAAAUGGGAGAGAAUUGUCCACAACCACAGUACCUGAUAAAGAGCAGACAAGAAGUCCACCUGGGUUUACCCAGUCCAACUGGAUUACCAACCCCAAUCAUCGCCAAUCAGAUUCUAGUGGAAGAGUAGGGGACCAAAUCAAGUCUCCCCCAGAGGUAACAAAGAAGAGAAGUAGAAGCCCAAAUGAGGACUUAUCCAGGGAUUUUUACACCUGUGAAAUGUGCAACUUGAAUUUCCAAAAAGCGGGCAUGCUUGGGAUGCAUCUGAAGUGCAAUAGUCACUGGGAGACCCUGGAGCACAUCCAGAAUCAAAACAACUACAACGACACGGCAAUCGCCUUUUUACAUGAGGCAAUGUUAAUCAAAGUCCAGCAAGGUGAUAGACCACAGAUGAACAGACAAAGCCUUAGAGCAUUGCUGGACAAGGAUUACAUGACAAGAAUUGAGAUUUUCCACUGUGCUUCGUGCCAAGUCUACGUCUCUGUACAUCCAUCGUCAUUGCAGGAUCACCUGAGCUCCAAGGACCACCUGAGGAACAAAAUGGAAUUGAGAACGAAACAGUUGAAGGAAAGUGUGAACUUCGCGAAGGCCACCAUGAAACGAAUGAAGAAUGAGUAUGCAAGCUUCCGUGAGGGCAAGUAUCCUUUUGAACAGUCAUCAUGAGGCCCAUGAAGAAUAUACAAACAGUAGAUACCAACUGCUAGCUACCGACUAAGGCUAACUAUGGACAGCCAACAACCACCCAUCAAAACCAACUCUAGACAAAGACCAAAUGGGCAAACUCUGUAACCUGAGUGUUGGUGUGCAGUCUUACGUACAUCUGUGACACCAGGAUUAGUGCAGGAAUUGACACUAAACUAAUACAGAAUACAUGUUUUACUUGAGUGUGAAAGAUCCAUUAGAUAUCAAGUAGUUGGGGACUUGUGGUCAUUUUGUUUUUUUGUGGAAUAUUUCAUGUACGAACACCCAUCUUUAACUGUGGACCUUUUUUAUUUUUCAGUUGGAAAUGGUUUCAAUUUCAAUAGAUAUUAUUGAAGGACACUUGCAAUGCUUUUCCACACUUUUUUUAUAUUUUUCUUCCACAAUUAUCUUUUGCCCAUAGAACACCUGCUUUGAUUCAUUUUGAGAUUUAAGGAUUGAAAUACUGUAAUGUUUUGUUUCCUGGAGAAAUAAGGUCUUUACAGGCUUUCCCCUAUUAUUAUUAUUAUUAUUAUUAUUAUUAUUAUUAUUAUUGUUAUUAUUAAUAAUAUUUUUUAAACAGUUAUUUGAAAAAAAUACCCAUUAAUUGUUGGGUUGACACUGAUAUUCAGAGGAGUUAUAAAACAACGUUUUAUAAACAGCAGCAGAGAUGGUCGACUCUGUUUCAUAUCAUUGUCACCGUUGUGAAAUCUGGUACUGCCAACAUAGAUGCCAUUAAAUUAUAUGCAUCCAGUCAUUUUAGAUGCCAACUAUCGUUUAAGGUUCAAUUGUGCAGUUUUGGAAAGGAAAUAUUUUGUGGUUAUAUAGAAUAACAGUCCUUUGAUAUCCUGUAAAUACUGUUUCCUCUAUUAUUGACAGUUGAAACUUUAUGGAAGAAUCUCUGUGGUCCAGAAUAACUAGCUGAGAGUUCAUCAUAUAGUAAGGUGUUAUUUGUUAGACUCCCACACAUUUGCACUAUUGCAGUAUCCCACUGUUGAUAGAGGUUUUCACCAGAUGACAAAACAACUGAACGAGUUAAAGGUUUCAGGUUUGAUUUGGGCCUCGAUUCAAUCAGUUCGAGCGUUAACCUGCGUUGGCUGUGUUUUGAUUGUGUUGGGGGUGUAACUGCGGUAUGAGUGGACAAAUCAGUGACCGGCUACUCUUGUGUGUCACCAACCACUCCCUUCCUUAUCCCUACCGCGUUAGAAGUUCAAAACUGUGAUUAAAAAGUGUAGACUAUUGUCUACGUCGCCGUACAUCCAUCGUCAAUGCAGGAUUACCUGAGAUCCAAGGACCACUGGAGGAACAAAAUGGUAAGGUAGCCAUUCUGCUGCUAUAGCAGAUAUCACCCCUCUGAUCAUCAGUGAAUAAUGGAACACAUGAUGUAGCAUUAAAAAGCAAUGGUCACUGAUAUUGUUUGGGAAGUCAUGUAAUGUUAGCUGGGAUGCUAUUUGAAGUUAGCCGAAUUGGCAGGUUGUGUUGUUUGGCAGUGACCAAGAAAAGGUAACGCAAAGAGCCGCUUGUGGAUUUGCACAGCUCUAACAGUUCCACCAACGACACUGCCAAAACAACCGCUAUGCGGAUGUUGGCUAGCGCAGAUCUGGUAGAAUCUUGCCCUUGAUUAUGAGCUCGAUUCAAUCAGUAGUGCUGUAAAGCGAUUUACAUUUAAAGGUGAUUUCCAAUUUAGCCGACAUGCAGCAUUUACCGUGAAUGCAGUCUCCGCCAAUGCGGAGUAGCGCAGGCUGCCUGUGUAAAUCAGCGGGGAAAGUCAAGCUCAACAGGGUCUUCUUUCCCCGCUGAUUUACACAGGCAGCCUUAUUCUUAUCCUUUUGCCACUAAUUCAGGGUUUCCCAAACGUGGUCCUUGGGACUCCAACCGGAGCACAUUUUGGUUUUUGCCCUAACACUACACAGCUGAUUAAAAUAAUCAUCAAACUUUGAUCAUUUCAAUCAGCUGUGUAGUGUUAGGGCUAACACCAAAACAUGCACACCUUGGGGUCAUGAGGACUGAAUUUUGGGAAACGCUGCACAAAUUGUUAUUUUGACCAAUCAGAUAGCCAAUAAUUGGGCAAAAUAUCAGAAUAGGGCUGCCUGUGUUAAAUGUAGACAGCGAAAUGACAUUGCCACGAGUAGCAUCGCAGAUAUUGAGAUGAGCGAGAUGCAAGACUUCUGUGCAUGGGACCAAAACAGCUGAGAGUUGAGCCUCAAUGCUCUUAGCUGUUGCAGAAAUCGAGCCACUAUGCUGUUUACUUUCUGCAUCUGUCAUAUUGCCAAGUCUACCUUUAACACAGCCAUUGACAAACUAUACCGAACAAAAUAUAAACGCAACAAUUUCAAAGAUUUUGCUGAGUUACAGUUCAUAUAAGGA